rnacentral:rRNA from 1 species
AGACAGCAGUCGCCGCGGUAAUACGAAGGGUGCAAGCGUUACUCGGAAUUACUGGGCGUAAAGCGUGCGUAGGUGGUGGUUUAAGUCCGUUGUGAAAGCCCUGGGCUCAACCUGGGAAUUGCAGUGGAUACUGGGUCACUAGAGUGUGGUAGAGGAUAGUGGAAUUUCCGGUGUAGCAGUGAAAUGCGUAGAGAUCGGAAGGAACAUCUGUGGCGAAGGCGACUAUCUGGGCCAACACUGACACUGAGGCACGAAAGCGUGGGGAGCAAACAGGAUUAGAUACCCCGGUAGUCCCUGUCUCUUAUAC